GCAGUUUCCGAGCUCUAGGCGCAGUCCUGUGCCUAAGAUUUCAGAUUAAACCUGCAGAGUGGACCUUUUUCUGCCUCCCCACUUCCAGCUACUCUCUGAAGACUGGAGAAGAGACUCUCUUAAGAACAUUAGGGGGGUGGGCAGGGGAAGGACUAGACCAUGUGAAAAAUGAACAUAAUAUUUUAGCUGCAGUUCAUUCAUUUUCAGCACUGUAUUCUUGUUAUAAAAAGGCACGCCUAGACAUUCCAUUGAUGCACCCAUAACCUAAGUUUAUGGUGCCAUUUAGCUACUAGCUUUCAUAUCUCAGUUUCUAACACUGCUCCCAGGUUAGUGUGUAUAAGAGUGAAGCUUGAAAUAACUAAUUACCGUUCUUGAAAUCAAAAGUCUUACUGAAAUCAAAGUAAUGUCCUUUUCUUAAGAAAUUUCUGUGGUAAUACCAUUGUUAUGUAAGACAUCUAGAGUAGGUAUAGAUGAGGAAGUAACAGGCACCCUUUGGUAUUAUUGUUACUUGUCCAUUUUAGAGAAAUAUGUCAUGACAAGGGCUGUGAACACAGUGAUGUUUACUCCAGCUCCAAUGUGCUGGUGUUUGAAGCCAGAUACAUAUGAUGUUCCCGAUUCACAUGAUGUUGGCCACAGUUCAUAUGCAUCCUGUAAGUUAUCGAGAAAUGCUGCUGUUUGAUGUGUUUCCCCUUUGAUGCUUUAGCUGAGAUUCUUGCGAUUGCAGAGGGUUGGACUAGAUGGCCCUUGGGGUCCCCUCCAAAUCUACGGUUCUAUGAUUCUAUGAAAACAGCUUCCAUCUGAUUUGACAUGUGAUUUCAGUGAUUUGUGUGCACAUCUGAGACAGUCGUUGCACCUGAACAGAUGACAGCUUCAUGGAAUAGAAGGAUUUGGGGGGGGGGGUUGCAGGCAUGAGGAGACAAUUAGGUAAUGUUGCAUUGGGUGAAGACAUCUCUCCCCGCCCCGUCUUGUGCAUGUAGCAAUGUAGAAAUGCAACUUGGAAUGCAGUUGGGAUAAAGGACCUCAUUGAUUUUUCAUAUCUUAAGUCCCAUUGAAAGCCAUGGAGUGGGACUAGUCAAGCCUAAACCAACUAAGUCUGGAAAUGUAUACAGUUAUUAUACAAUACAGUCCACAGAUACAUUUCCAGACUUACCGGUAGUUGCAAUGGGCUUUUUGUUGUUUGGUACGGGGCUCACAAUGUUGCAAAAACACACAGUUGCAUAUAAAGAUGUUACAUUAAUUACAAAGUUACAUGUAUACCAAUUUAGUUUACUUCCUCCCUCUCAACCUGUGGAUCCAAACAAACUCUCAGCUCACCCACAAAAGUCUCACAUAAGAAGAGAUCCUGGAAACAGCGGACAUCACUCUAGACUUGCUUCUUAUGGGCAGGUAGAUGGUCAUUUCUCAGGCUGCCCACAGCUAGGUUGCAUUAAAGUUGCACCCUUCAAACCCAGUUUCAGGUACAGCAGAUUUGUUGGGUUCCUCAGCGGGUCCAGAGGAUGGAGAAAGGGCUCCCCUCCCCUCACAGCUCUUUCUUCACCUUCUGUCCCCCUCUCUUCCUCCUCCCGCUGCUUACUAUUAUCUUUAUCUUAAAGAUACUGUACAUAUGUUAUUGUGUGUGUUGCAAAAUGGAGGAGCAGAAGGCAUGGGAAUGUGGGUGAAGAUGACAGCAGGAUCUACAGGAGAUGGUGGCUUCAUAAUUGGGUGAAAGGUGACAAGGGAGCUUAACAGUUGCAAUGUGUGAGAGGGGGAAUAUGCAGGAGGUUGCCAUGGGGGUGGUUUGUGUGCAAAGGGGAGCAUACAGUAUAGAUAGCUAUUUAAUGGAGUGAACUGCACUCAAUCUUAUAUAUACCAUUUACUUGCAGUCUGUGUAUGGGGCAGUUUCAUUGAUGCAAAGCUCAGCUGUGACACUUCCAUUGCAGGGGAGUCCCAUGUAUAUAAAAAAUGGGCACAGAGCUCUAGCCUAGGAAGUGUCUUUCACUGUUUUAAAUACAAUGUACUGUGAUACAUGUACACUUAAAGUUAGUGCAUUGUAAAAAACACACACUAAGGGUAUGAUUGAGACUGUGGGUUUAAGUGAACUCUGUCAUGUUUAAAUAGGAGCAAGUCCACUGAAAUAUAUAGGAUUUACCUAAAGCAAAUGUCUUUAGAAUCAGGGUGUUAAAGCUUAAAAAAAAGAUAUACUGUUCAUCCUCUGCAUGCUCACUCAGAAAUGUUUCCUAGAUUUCAAUGGGGCUUACCCCAUUGAAUAUGAGCACAGCCUUGGGCUGUAAUCCUGGGUGUGCACUUAGCUAAGAUUAAGGCUUCCUGAACCUGGCGGGGCUUCUGAAUAAACAGGUAGAAAACUGGGUUGCACAAUUGCAGCCUUGCAUGCACUAAAUAUUAUUGGAGUAAACCUUAUUGAAGUCAUUGAAACAUACUUCUGAGUAAAGAUGCUUAAGGUUAUGUCAAACACAAUAUUGUGAUCAGGUUACUUUCUGUUCUGGGGAGAUGCAUCUCCCACCCCCUCCUUUAGCUCACUCUUGACUGCUGUUCUUUAAUAGGUAUGUGUUUGUUUAAAAUAUUUCCCCAUUGUGCCUAACAGCUUUAUUUGUCCUUCUACCCUUGCCUUCAUUUGGAGGGGGGAAAAAACCUAUGGCAUUUUGGUAUGUUUUGUGAACAUAAUUAUCACAUCAGCAAACGAGUAGGAGAUAUCAAGUGCCCAAAUGUGCUGGGGAAAAAAAUGUCAUUGUUUCAAGUCAAAAGGUGACUUCAAGAGUUGUAAAACCUUGUUGUUUUUUCAGCUACAUCUUUCAACCCUUUGCCUUUUCAGAUACUGCACAUUCAUGCUAAUGAAGUUGAUAGCUCUAGGAAGAAGAAAUGCAGGCAAAGUGAUGCGUGGAUUAUGAAUGACUCUGGUUCUUAAAGAAAUACAUAUGCAGCACCCAUUUCCACUAUCGGUUGGGAUUCCUCUGAAAGGCAGCUGUAAUUGCCAGGCAGGCCUCAUUGUCCUUAAAAGUUGUGAUUCAUGUGUCUUUUUAAUAGCUGCUUUUUAAUGUUCUGUACAAAGAUGUAGCAGCACACAGAAAACAUUUUUCCCUCUUUGUGACCUUACAUUUGCCGAAGUGCCCCAUGCUGGAAUUCCUUUUCAGGGUCUUUUUUCCUUCCAGAGCCAGACAUGUACCCAGACACAAAAGCCUCUGUGUAUAGCAAGCUGUUUUAAAUAUUGUGACUUGCUGAUGUGCUGUCCUUUCUCUGCUUGAGCCAAAGAUCUCUGCUCAGUGUCUGUAGAUUACCAAGCCCCUUCUUCAUUGUACCUCUUGUCAGCUAUUCCUAUUCAUUUAACCUUUCAUUAGUGUCUGUGCAGCUUCACUGUCUGGAAAAGGCAAGCCAGAACCCAAAGGCCCACUGUCACAGUUAUUAGAUUUCUCGGUUACAUCCCAGCAACCAUAAUGGACUGAGAGUCAACACUAUUGUCAUGCGUGCUGCUGUCCUGGGGUGCAGGCUCUUCUGUGCAUGUCAAGGACAUGUGCCACAUGUUGAUAAUGCACCCCAGAGAUAAAUGCACAACAUGAGGGAUAGACUAAGGCUGGCAGUAAUGAGCUUUGUGGGAGUUACUGUGAAGACAAACAGUUGCGGAGGAAUUUUGCUUAAGGAGCCAAAGGAGAGGGAGUCGAAUUAAGUGUUGCCAGGGUUGCCUGUGAGGUACUUGUCAAUCAUGCUACUUUCAUUUUAAGUUUCUGUU